AAACAUAUUCUUCUUUUCUUUCUUCCUUUGGGCAUAUAUUUGACAUGUUACUUUCAUUUAUCGUACUAAAGGUCUUGGUUUUGAUAUACUGGUCAAUAUGUUGAAAAUAUUGCUGCAACACACACGUGGUUAUAAUAAAUACUCAUUUGAGAGUUAAAAUCUACCUGGUGGCCGGCCUGGUGCAUUCUGGUUGGAUGAAUUUGAUGAAUGUUCUGUGAACCUGUUGGAUAUCACUUCUGUUCUCAAGGAUUCUUACAACUGAUCGAUUGGUGUUGGUGAAAAAUGAAGAACGUCUUAUCAGAGAGCUGCGAUUGGUGGCUUAAUUUAGGCAGUGCUUUCCAAGUGACAAGAGCAUCACCACAAUCGAAGAACUUGCUCUUGCAUUAGCCUCCCUUACUCCUUACAAACUCCCUAUAACAAGUAUCAAAAUUUGGUAUCUUCAUUUUGAGGUCUGCUGAGUAAACUAGGUAACCUUUCUGUGAUGGUUUUAUGCUUUUGAAGUAUUACUACUCUCUAACACAUAAUUUCAUAAUUGAUAUCGUUCAAUACCUGGAUCAAUAUGUACCAAUGUACAAUUGCCAGUUUCAAUGAUCAGGGCCAUAUUUAUGUAAUGUUCAUGCUACGCACCAAAUUCUGAAGUCUUCUACAGUUUAAAUGCGAGCUGUUAGCUUUUCAGAUUCCCAAUCUUUGCCUCUCUGUCGUGGCCUUGGUAUGUUGUAUAUAUCUAUAUUACUAUUAUUAAGAUACAAUCACUACUGGAUACAAAAUUUUGACAGUAAUGCUGGUUUAUAUUCUGUUUUAUAUGCCAAUUAGAUUAUGCUUCAGGUUUUGAAAGAGAUAUUUAGUCAUAAUUUGUUAUUUGAAAGCACACUAUGCAUUGGCAUAGGACAUAGUGAUUGUAUGAUAUGGGAAAUAUAUGUUUAUAUAUGAUAGCAAGUCCUAUAAGGAGGCAAUACCUGUGCACUAAACCAUUGACAGAUUAGUUCAUUCAUAGGGGUGAAGUCACUUGAAAAUCCCUUUAAGUCCAUUACUUAUGACUCUUUGACUGCUUUGUUUUCCCAACUUAGAGCAUCUUGUUGUUUCUCUAUGGCCACUAACUUUACCAACAUUGUAUUAUACAAUGGAGCAAAGCGAUUGGUUGCCACCGGAUUCUGUUCCAUAUUGUUUAGCAAGUAAGCUCAAGACUAUACAGUUAAGUGGAGUACAGAGGACUGGCGCUUCCCUGAGGGUACUAGCGUAUAUUCUGAGUCACGCAGAUGUUUUGGAUAAGCUUUGCAUAGAUUUUGAAUGGCUUAAUCUCAUAAAUGAACAUAACGAAGCACAUGUAAUGUGGAUGGAAUGUCAGCUCUGUAGGUCGCUGUUCAAACUUCCAAGGAGGUCCUCAACUUGUGAGGUUGUGGUUUCUGGUAAUUAUGUCACAGCAUCAGGUAAUGCCUUACAAGACGGAUACCUUACCUGUCGAAUGUAUGUGGGCGAUUAGACCUAAUAUGUGCAACUUGUUUUCCAAAUGCAAGCAUUCAAGCUUAUGAGUUGCAGUUGGUGGUGAACUGGUGAAGUAACAGACUGAUUUGAGCCCGUUGGUUGUGAAGCUCCUGUCUGACUCGAUAAUUAGAAUAUCCUGGUUUUGAAUUUUCCAAUUUCCUGAAAAGUUCAAUUAUUCGUUGAUUAAAUACUUCUUAAGAAUAAGCAUCUUAUAUCUUGACUACAAUAGACCUCCCUUAGAAUCAGGAAGGUGGAUGUUUAAGCUUGAGAAGAACCUAUGCAGGUGCUACCAUUCCUACCAGCAUCAGUUUAGUCUUUGCUAAAGCUUUCAACUUUGGAUCUAGAACAUGCUUGCAUCAGUAUGGUACAGUGCCUAUUUUCAUCUAGAAGUUGAAAGAUUUUGAAACUUGUACCUUUGUGAAAAUUAGCUUUCUUGGGUGUCUAUAUAUUUGAUCAAAAUUCAAAAGUUGUCUGGUGGGUUCGUGGAUGAUCAAACUUCCUUAAAAAUUGGAUUAGAGAAAUUCAGCGUUGAUGUACAAAUGGGGAAUAGGAAAUUGGGUAGUGAAAUUGCAAUUGAUAGGUUUUUGAGAAGCUGAUUUUCUUCCUUAAAUUUUUAUGUAAAACUCGGUUUUCUGAUCUGAUUUUUUCGCUUUUAAUUGGUUAUUACUUCCCUUUUAAUUGGUUAUUACUUCCCUAGCAUAAUCAUUUAUGAACAUUAAAAUAUUAUUGAACAUAAAAGUAUACAACUACCAUCAUCAAAUAAACCAAACAAAGCUAUGUUCUUCAAUUGGGAUAAGAGUAAGAUUGAAAUAUUAUUUUGGAGUUUAGAGCUUAGUGGACUUUGCCCAAAAUUAUCAAAAAUAAAAAAUAAAUUAAAAGUAAAUAGAUAAAUGAAUAAAUA